UACGUAGGGGGCAAGCGUUGUCCGGAAUCAUUGGGCGUAAAGAGCGUGUAGGCGGUUCGGGAAGUCGGCUGUGAAAGUCCAGGGCUCAACCCUGGGAUGCCGGUCGAUACUGCCGGACUAGAGUUCGGAAGAGGCGAGUGGAAUUCCCGGUGUAGCGGUGAAAUGCGCAGAUAUCGGGAGGAACACCAAUGGCGAAGGCAGCUCGCUGGGACGUUACUGACGCUGAGACGCGAAAGCGUGGGGAGCAAACAGG
rnacentral:rRNA from 1 species